rnacentral:rRNA from 1 species
GAUGAACGCUGGCGGCGUGCUUAACACAUGCAAGUCGAACGAAGCAACUUAUUUGUUUUUCUUCGGGACUGAUUAUCUUGUGACUGAGUGGCGGACGGGUGAGUAACGCGUGGGUAACCUGUCUUGUACAGGGGGAUAACAGAUGGAAACGGCUGCUAAUACCGCAUAAGCGCACAGCAUCGCAUGAUGCAGUGCGAAAAACUCCGGUGGUAUAAGAUGGACCCGCGUUGGAUUAGCUAGUUGGUGAGGUAACGGGCCACCAAGGCGAGGAUCCAUAGCCGAGCAGAUAGAGUGACCGGCGACAUCGGGACGGGGACGCAGUACAAACUCCUACGGGAGGCAGCAGUGGGGAAUAUAGCACAGUGGGCGAAAGCCUGAUGCAGCGAGGCCGCGAGAGCGAAGAAGUAAUGCAGGAUGUAAAGCUCAAGCAGCAGGGAAGAUAAUGACGGUACCUGACUAGGAAGCACCGGCUAAAUACGUG